UCUGCAGUGUGGGCAGGACAGAAAGCUUCCGGUUGGGCCAGGGACUGGGAAAGUUUCCGGUGGUAGGAGGAAAACAGGAACCAAUCCACUCCAUGGUUUUCUGCUUGGCUUCCUCCCAGCUGAAGAGCGGCUUAUACCCCAGAUCCCGCUGAGCUUUCUUAUAGGAGAAGCCUCCCUGGGAUACCAUACCCUUCAGAUUGACAUUCAUGAUGGUCUCUCGGUGAAGGACAUUCAUGACGUCAAUGACAGAGGCAGUGUGAAUGACAACCGAGAUGCCCUGGCAAGCUCUCUUCAGGCACUGCUCAUCCAGAAUGUCUCCUUCCACCAUCAUCAAAUUGGUCUUGCUCUGGAGCUCUGUGUGAACACAAGUCAGGUCACUGGAAGGUUUUCUGGGUCUGGAAGUUUCCCGAUAAAGGUGGCGUUUUCCCAGGUCUUCAAGGACAGCAGAUAUCAGUGCCGAAAAUAUGUCAGCCACCAAGGGACUAACAUUCUGGCCACUGAGCCAAGGGCAGUGGAUUCAACCUCAG